GGGAACCCUGCGGUCAGAAAGAACUCUAGUCACUGAGCAAGAAACAUCAAUGGGAACUUAUAUUCAUGCUGGAUAGACUAGUGCUUUUUCUUCCAAGGAAGUAUUAUAAAUUCCCUUCCAAACAAGAAGUGGCUGUUAAGGAGGCUCAGCAUCAUCAAGUACAUGGAGAAGGACCAGCCUGAGAGUAACAGAGAGCCCAUGGAGAUGGAUCCAUAGCUGGAUGAGAACUGAUGGAAUUGGAAUUGUGACUGUCUAUCAGGGAGUAAAGUGACAGGACAAGAGGUUUUGUCUGUUUUGAGGACAGCCUUUCACCUAAAUAGGAGCUUGUAACAGAAGUGGAACAAAUGAGCGCUAGACGUGUCACUACUGGCAUGUGGAAAAACA